CAUGCAAACACGUGUGUUUAUCUGAUUGCUGAGACAGCGCUCAGACUUGGCGUGCUGCCUCUUACAGAUCUCCGAAGAGUUAGCCUCACAGAAACCUCUGGAUUGUUAUCUGGAAGAGAAUCACAUUCAUGUACGAAGAGAAUAACUUAUCAGAAAUGGGAAACGGCUCAGGGAAUCCAGAGGCUCAACUGUUCCCAUAUGCGCUCAGCUUCUGAGUCAUUCUGGUUCUCAGGAAAUGGGCAAAUCUCUUUUUCACAGCAAUUUUCAGAGCCAUUUGGGGGUGUCUGGGAGGCCAAAAGCUACUCUGAGCAUGCAUGGGGAGGUCAUGUUACAGAGAAGGAGAAACGUUAGCUUUCAAUGGGA
rnacentral:lncRNA from 1 species